GACGAACGCUGGCGGCGUGCUUAACACAUGCAAGUCGAACGGAAAGGCCCUGCUUGCAGGGUACUCGAGUGGCGAACGGGUGAGUAACACGUGGGUGAUCUGCCCUGCACUUCGGGAUAAGCCUGGGAAACUGGGUCUAAUACCGGAUAGGAGCCAUUUUUAGUGUGGUGGUUGGAAAGUUUUUUUCGGUGUAGGGUGAGCUCGCGGCCUAUCAGCUUGUUGGUGGGGUAAUGGCCUACCAAGGCGGCGACGGGUAGCCGGCCUGGGAGGGUGGACGGCCACAAUGGGGCUGGGGUACGGCCCAGACUCCUACGGGGGGGAGCAGGGGGGAAUAUUGCACAAUGGGCGCAAGCCUGAUGCAGCGACGCCGCGUGGGGGAUGACGGCCUUCGGGUUGUAAACUCCCUUCGCUAUGGACGAAGCUUUUUGUGACGGUACCUAGAGAAGAAGCACCGGCUAACUACGUG
rnacentral:rRNA from 1 species